UGGUUAGAACUUUGGUUAAAACGGUGGUCUAAAGAUAACGCCUACCGGGUAAUUAAAGAAUGCUAAAACUAGUCGAUGAACUCGAAUAUGCAAUUAGUAUACUAAUGGGCAUUUGACUUUUUAAAAGUCAAACUGACCUAUAAUCCGAUAAAUGGUAAUCUUUGGUAUGAAAUGCGUAAGGUGGAAUAAUCGUAUUAAAUUGUGAUUAAACUAACCACCUUGAAAACAAUGAUGAUAGUUUGACGCGUAACAAGCUAGGUGGAAGCUUGAUGAGGGAGCGGGUCAAACGAAUCAAGAAGGAAAGGAAAAAAGCAUAGUUCGGACACGAGGAGCGAAUGGUAAUUGGGAUAAUUGCGUCGCCAUAGAAUAUCGGUAAUAAAAAGCAAGGUGUUGAAACGGGUCACUAGGUUGACUCGAGCCAGGUACUUUGUGGAAGCCGGAAGACGAUCAAGCUCAACGAAGAA